UUGCAGUCAAUUAAGCCGACUGCGCUCUUUUCCCCAUGGGGGCCCAGCAUGCAAUGGCUGCAAACAGCAGCCCCCUCAGUCGUGUAGAUGGCCUGUUGUCUGUACAGGUUGCCCUAAGGGAUCUUGGAGACAGUC
ensembl:snoRNA SNORA70 Small nucleolar RNA SNORA70